CCCCAGCGCCACGAGUGGGAAUCGCGUUUAUUUGGCCUAAAGCAUCCGUAGCUGGUUCUGUAAAUCUCUUGUGAAAUUGUUAGGCUCAACCUAACAGCGUGCAGGAGACACUGCAAAACUAGGGACCGGGAGGAGUCAGAGGUAUGCAAAGGGGAGCGGUAAAAUGCUAUAAUCCUUUGUAGACCACCUGUGGCGAAGGCGUCUGACUAGAACGGGUCCGACAGUGAGGGAUGAAAGCCAGGGGAGCAAACCG
rnacentral:rRNA from 1 species